UGUUAAUCUCACAUCUAUACAGAAAUAAAAUAUAAGGUGAAAUUAACCCUACGCAAUGGCCUCUCGUUAUUUCUUGAUUUUGUGCUUUGCUUUCAUUUUGCUUUCAGGUUUCGCAAAUAGUUUGGGUCCAAACCCAAACUGCUCUGAGGUAUGCACAAAUGUUCAAGAGUGCAAUAAAGAAUGCUCUAAUAGAGGCUUCAACAAUGGUGGUUACUGUUUAGGAAUGGGACUUCAACCUAAGUAUGAACUUUGUUGCUGUAAAUAAAACACAAAUAUCCACCUUUAGAACUUGGGAAAACUUUGAACUUGAUUAGUGUAAUAAAAAAAGUUCUGCAAAUAAAUGGAAAAGCAUAUGAGUUUUAA